GACGAACGCUGGCGGCGUGCUUAACACAUGCAAGUCGAACGGAAAGGCCCUGCUUUUGUGGGGUGCUCGAGUGGCGAACGGGUGAGUAACACGUGAGUAACCUGCCCUUGACUUUGGGAUAACUUCAGGAAACUGGGGCUAAUACCGGAUAGGAGCUCCUGCUGCAUGGUGGGGGUUGGAAAGUUUCGGCGGUUGGGGAUGGACUCGCGGCUUAUCAGCUUGUUGGUGGGGUAGUGGCUUACCAAGGCUUUGACGGGUAGCCGGCCUGAGAGGGUGACCGGCCACAUAGGGAUGAGGGAACGGCCAGGGCGCCAACGGGGGGAAGGGGGGGAGAAUUUGGCAAAAGGGGCGGAGGGGUUGUGGAAGAACGCCGGGUGGGGAAGGCCGGCUUUGGGGUUAGAAACGGCUUUGGCUUGUAACGAGCGGUUAUGACGGUAAAUGGAGAAAAAAGCCCGGCUAAAUUCGUG
rnacentral:rRNA from 1 species